UGGCGAACGGGUGAGUAACGCGUGAGGAACCUGCCUCAAAGAGGGGGACAACAGUUGGAAACGACUGCUAAUACCGCAUAAGCCCACGACCCGGCAUCGGGAAGAGGGAAAAGGAGCAAUCCGCUUUGAGAUGGCCUCGCGCCCGAUUAGCUAGUUGGUGAGGUAACGGCCCACCAAGGCAACGAUCGGUAGCCGGACUGAGAGGUUGAACGGCCACAUUGGGACUGAGACACGGCCCAG
rnacentral:rRNA from 1 species